CCAGACUCCUACGGGAGGCAGCAGUGGGGAAUCUUGCGCAAUGGGCGGAAGCCUGACCCAACAACGCCGCGUGAAGGAAGAAGGCCCUCGGGUUGUAAACUUCUUUUAUCAGGGACGAAACAAAUGACGGUACCUGAUGAAUAAGCCACGGCUAACUACGUGCCAGCAGCCGCGGUAAUACGUAGGUGGCAAGCGUUAUCCGGAUUUACUGGGUGUAAAGGGCGUGUAGGCGGGUCUGCAAGUCAGAUGAGAAAUCUCAUGGCUCAACCAUGGAACUGCAUUUGAAACUGUAGAUCUUGAGUGAUGGAGAGGCAGGCGGAAUUCCGUGUGUAGCGGUGAAAUGCGUAGAUAUGCGGAGGAACGCCAGUGGCGAAGGCGGCCUGCUGGACAUUAACUGACGCUGAGGCGCGAAGCGUGGGGAGCAAACAGGAUGAGAUACCCUCGUAC
rnacentral:rRNA from 1 species